UCUGCCCCUAGAGAUGUUGCAGGUGCAGCUACUGGGUCACACCUGCAUUAGCUGGUGGCAGGGAGGAGAGAUGCUAUGACUUCGCUCAGGGUUUUGUCCUGUGAACAUGUGAAUGACUUGUACCCAUG
ensembl:snoRNA LOC120102684 small nucleolar RNA SNORA17